GCGCGCGGGGCCGGCGAGGGGCGGGGGCGGAGGCGGGGGGAGACUUCCUGUUUGAGGUCAGCGGCGCGAGGGGAGGGGAGGGAGGGGGAGCGCGGCGGAGCCGCUCCGCGGUCUCGCGCUGCCUGGCGGGGUUCUUGUCAGUUAGCAACAAAAUGGCCGCGGUGGCAGCAGCUCUGCUCCCGAGGACGGCGGCGGCGUCCGUGGCGGCGGCGGUGGCGGCGGCGGCGAGGCGGAGCGGGGGACCGGCCCGGCGGCACUGAGCCUGGCACCGCCUGCCCGCGAGCGGACGAGCCGAGAGCGAGCGGGAGAGACGGAGAGAGGCGCUGCGGGCCCCCCCGCGCCCUACGCCAGCCUCCGCCGGCGAGACCGACCGACCGACCCUGCCCGCGACGCUGCUGCGGCCCCUGGGGAGCCGCUGCCGCCCCCGCCUGCCGCCUCCCCCCGGGGGCACAGGCGCCCGGCUCCCGGCCCCCGCCGCCGCAGCCCCCCCGAGAGGCUCUGCCGGCUCCCGCGGAGGAGACGGCGGGAGCCCGCGGGGUCUCUGCUGCUGCCCCCGGAUCCCCCCCGAGAGCGCGGCAGGCAGGCAGACAGACAGACAGACUGUUGGGUUUCCCCACUCCCCCCUUCGGGUCCCCGUGCCCCCCUCCCCGUGAAAGACUCUGCUGGAUCCUCCUCCUCGGAUCCCCUCCCCGCGCUCGCUCCUUCCUGCGGGAGAGACUGCUGGAUCCUCCUCCUGCGAGAGAGGCUGCUGGAUCGCUUCGCCCGGGUCCCUGCGAGAGAGGCUGCUGGAUCCUCCUCCUGUGAGGGACUGCUGCGGGUCCUCCCCCUCCGCGGAUCUCCCCAUGCUCCUCCAUGUGGACUGAGAAUCCAUCAAGGCACGCACACGAGAACUCAUCCCGGUCAACUCCAGAUCCUGGCUUUCGUGGGCUUUGCUGCAACACAUAAAGCAAACUUGUAUUUAAGACACACAGUCGUGCAAAAAUUUAGCUGGGGACUUAAGGUGUAUUUUGUCUUGGUUUCUUGGUCUUGUUUUUUUUUUUCUUUUUGCUUCACUGGAAAUCAAAAGCUUGUUUUGGAAUUGGACCUGCCUUUGCUGCACUUCUCCUCUGGGCUGGAUAACACUGAAGCUCUUUGCUUUUCUACUUGGAUAGUGUUUUCUUGUUGA
rnacentral:lncRNA from 1 species